rnacentral:rRNA from 1 species
CCUACGGGUGGCAGCAGUGAGGAAUAUUGGUCAAUGGACGAGAGUCUGAACCAGCCAAGUAGCGUGAAGGAUGACUGCCCUAUGGGUUGUAAACUUCUUUUAUAUGGGAAUAAAACGUUCCACGUGUGGGAUUUUGUAUGUACCAUAUGAAUAAGGAUCGGCUAACUCCGUGCCAGCAGCCGCGGUAAUACGGAGGAUCCGAGCGUUAUCCGGAUUUAUUGGGUUUAAAGGGAGCGUAGGUGGAUUGUUAAGUCAGUUGUGAAAGUUUGCGGCUCAACCGUAAAAUUGCAGUUGAAACUGGCAGUCUUGAGUAAAGUAGAGGUGGGCGGAAUUCGUGGUGUAGCGGUGAAAUGCUUAGAUAUCACGAAGAACUCCGAUUGCGAAGGCAGUUCACUGGACUGCAACUGACACUGAGGCUCGAAAGUGUGGGUAUCAAACAGGAUUAGAUACCCUAGUAGUC